UUCAAAUAACCAGCCCUCCCUGAUAACACACACGCAGCCUUCAAAUAACCAGCCCUCCCUGAUAACACACACGCAGCUUUCAAAUAACCAGCCCUCCCUGAUAACACA